rnacentral:rRNA from 1 species
UUUUAUGGAGAGUUUGAUCCUGGCUCAGGACGAACGCUGGCGGCGUGCCUAAUACAUGCAAGUCGAGCGAAUGGAUGGGAGCUUGCUCCCUGAAAUUAGCGGCGGACGGGUGAGUAACACGUGGGCAACCUGCCCUGUAGACUGGGAUAACUUCGGGAAACCGAAGCUAAUACCGGAUAAUCUUUGGAGCCUCAUGGUUCUAAAGUGAAAGUUGGGUUUACCUAACACUACAGGAUGGGCCCGCGUCGCAUUAGCUAGUUGGUAAGGUAACGGCUUACCAAGGCGACGAUGCGUAGCCGACCUGAGAGGGUGAUCGGCCACACUGGGACUGAGACACGGCCCAGACUCCUACGGGAGGCAGCAGUAGGGAAUCUUCCGCAAUGGACGAAAGUCUGACG